AGUUGGGCACUCUAAGGUGACUGCCGGUGACAAACCGGAGGAAGGUGGGGAUGACGUCAAAUCAUCAUGCCCCUUAUGACCUGGGCUACACACGUGCUACAAUGGAUGGUACAAAGGGCUGCAAGACCGCGAGGUUUAGCCAAUCCCAUAAAACCAUUCUCAGUUCGGAUUGCAGGCUGCAACUCGCCUGCAUGAAGCUGGAAUCGCUAGUAAUCGCGGAUCAGCAUGCCGCGGUGAAUACGUUCCCGGGCCUUGUACACACCGCCCGUCACACCACGAGAGUUUGCAACACCCGAAGUCGGUGGGGUAACCCUUACGGGAGCCAGCCGCCGAAGGUGGGGCAGAUGAUUGGGUGUUGCU
rnacentral:rRNA from 1 species